UGUAGUCUCGCACAGAUGCAUAUCAAUAAGCGGAGGAAAAGAAACUAACAAGGAUUCCCCUAGUAACGGCGAGUGAAGCGGGAAGAGCUCAAAUUUGAAAUCUUAAAGGGUUUCCCUUUACGAAUUGUAGUUUAAAGAAGUGUUUUCUGUUGAGGUUUUGGUAAAAGUUCUUUGGAAUAGGACAUCAUAGAGGGUGAGAAUCCCGUAUUUGACCUUUACUUUCAACUUUGUGAUACACUUUCAAAGAGUCGGAUUGUUUGGGAAUGCAGUCCAAAAUGGGUGGUAAAUUUCAUCUAAAGCUAAAUAUUGGCGAGAGAUCCGAUAGCGAACAAGUACCGUGAGGGAAAGAUGAAAAGAACUUUGAAAAGAGAGUUAAACAGUACGUGAAAUUGUCAAAAGGGAAGCGUUUGACACCAGUGUUGUUUUUCUGAAAAUCAAUUAAAGAACUGUUUAUGCUAAGCUGUUUAGACUUUAUCAGCUAUCUGUUUAGUUUUGAGCUUUUCUUUAAUGCACUUUUCAGUUAACAAGUCAACAUCAAUUUCUUUUGCUGUAAAAAAGCUUGAGGAAGGUGGCUUGAGAUUCGUCUUAAGUGUUUAUAGCCUCUUGCCUAUGCAGUCGGAGAGAUUGAGGUCUGCAGCGUAGAUCCUUCGGGGCUAAAUGCAUUUGUGCUAAGUUAUAGCAUUUUAUAGACAACUUGUUGACUAUGAUUUGUCUUGUAGCUUACUCGCUUAUGUUAUUUUACCUACGCUUAGGAUGUUGACGCAUGAGAUAUACGC
rnacentral:rRNA from 1 species